CCAGAUUAGGUUAGGUCAUGUUCAUUAUUAUGCGUUCACAAUUCGAUCAGCUGGUUCUGUAUGGAUGUCCCCAUCUGGGGAUUAGUGCGUUGAUUGGCAAUUAACAUAAGUGAUUACAACUUAACUGGAUUUCGAGUUAAAUCUGUUAUAAAUGAGUUGCUGUAGACUCUAAUUUAGCUUGGAUUUGAAUGACAGAAAUACAUACAACACACAACCCGCAUAGCUAACGGAAUACUGGUGUCGGCAGAGCUGCUGGACAACGCAAACAUAGAAAAUAAGUCUGGUUUGUAACAUUGUGAUCGUUCAUCAUAUAAAACGUAACAUGGAAA